AGUCCUUCGCCGUCCCUCGCCGUCCUUCGCCAUCGCACGCCACCGCACCCCAUCUCUCGAAAUCUGCAGACAUCUUGAUUUUUCCCACGCUGUCUGUCAGGUCUCCGCCGCCACUCGACGCCAGGGCGCCGGGUGAGUCCACAGCAGGGCGCAUGGUCGGCUCCACUCUCACCAUCGGGGGAAACUGAGGCCCCGGGGAAGGCGGCCAGAGAGGUCAGGCCCUGUCCUUGGUGCAGUGUCUCGUCCUCUUUGCCGGAGUGAGCCCCCCAGGAUUCGCGUGUCCUCGGGAAAGACACUGGCAGGCCUUGUGGGCUGUGCUGCACCUCGGACGGCUUCGCACCAGCCAGCGCCCUCUCUCUCCUGCAGCACUCUGAUCUGCACCCCCUGAGGGGCUUCCACUGUCCGCGGGGUGAGAAUGCCCCUGGGAGUGUCACAUGACUGCCGCCCCAUGUGUGUGAGAGGCGUCCUCUGGGAGAGCAUGGAUCCUGAGGUCCCAGGAUUGUCAGCUGACCUCUGUCCUGUGUGCCCAGUGGCCCCAGGUGACGUGUCUUCAAGAAGAGGCUGAGCUGCGGUGCUUGUAAGGUCUCAGCCUUAGAUCCAAGGACAGUCCAAGGAAGUCCUAAGACCAUGGAGUUGGUGAUCUGGGAUCUGGGUUUGCUGAUAUUUCUCACCGUGAAUCUCUUGGUGGUGUUUGUGGGCACGAGAGGGGCAGAGAAUGGAGAGUGAGGCUACCACAUGAAGCGUCACCAGAGCUGCUCCCUGCUGCCUGCUCAGAGCACCCCGGAUCCACUGUUCAAUCUGCACAAGAUUCGGGGUCCAGACAUGGGAGACUUCAGCUGCCUCAGAGGACCGUGGACAGGGAAGGCCAGCCUCGCAUCCCUCUGUCCAUGCCUGGAAUGACUUUAAUAACCAAGAGUUUUAUUUUUGAAUUUGUAGCUGUCGUUCACUUUUUACCCACCCAUUCAAUAAACCUUACAGAAUUGCUCCA
rnacentral:lncRNA from 1 species